rnacentral:rRNA from 1 species
GGCAACCCUGACGGAGCAAUACCGCGUGGGGGAGGAAGGCUCUUGGGUCGUAAACCCCUUUUCUCAGGGAAGAACACAAUGACGGUACCUGAGGAAUCAGCAUCGGCUAACUCCGUGCCAGCAGCCGCGGUAAUACGGAGGAUGCAAGCGUUAUCCGGAAUGAUUGGGCGUAAAGCGUCCGCAGGUGGCAUUUCAAGUUUGCGGUUAAAGGUUCUGGCUCAACCAGAGACAGGCCGUGAAAACUGAAAAGCUAGAGUAUGGUAGGGGCAGAGGGAAUUCCCAGUGUAGCGGUGAAAUGCGUAGAGAUUGGGAAGAACACCGGUGGCGAAAGCGCUCUGCUAGGCCAAAACUGACACUGAGGGACGAAAGCUAGGGGAGCG